rnacentral:rRNA from 1 species
GUCCUACGGGAGGCAGCAGUGAGGAAUAUUGGUCAAUGGGCGGGAGCCUGAACCAGCCAAGUCGCGUGAGGGAAGACGGUCCUAUGGAUUGUAAACCUCUUUAGGCGGGGAGCAAUGCCGGGCACGCGUGCCCGGAGGGAGAGUACCCGCAGAAUAAGCAUCGGCUAACUCCGUGCCAGCAGCCGCGGUAAUACGGAGGAUGCGAGCGUUAUCCGGAUUUAUUGUGUUUAAAGGGUGCGCAGGCGGAGGUGCAAGUCAGCGGUCAAAUUGCGGGGCUCAACCCCGCACUGCCGUUGAAACUGCCU